rnacentral:rRNA from 1 species
UACAGAGGUCCCGAGCGUUGUUCGGAUUCAUUGGGCGUAAAGGGUGCGUAGGCGGCGGGGCAAGUCUGAUGUGAAAUCCCGGGGCUCAACCCCGGAACUGCAUUGGAUACUGCCUUGCUAGAGUACUGGAGAGGGAACUGGAAUUUACGGUGUAGCAGUGAAAUGCGUAGAGAUCGUAAGGAAGGCCAGUGGCGAAGGCGAGUUCCUGGACAGUUACUGACGCUGAGGCACGAAGGCCGGGGGAGCAAACGGG